rnacentral:lncRNA from 11 species
UGGAACGUUUCUGGAGCAUUGCUCCCGUUUGGAGGUUUUAGCAUCUGCGCCUUUUGAUGAAACCAUGAGCUUUGAUCAACCGUGCUGUGGAAUUUGAAGAGGCACAAAUGGAGGGCGAAAGGGAGAAAUGCGUGAAGAGGAAGGCGUGUCAAGCCAACCCUGAACGGGACUGCCUUCCAUCUGGAAACCGAUGCCCUCACUGUGGAAGAACGUGCGGGUCAUGAAUAUGGCUCAUGAUCACCUACGUAUCCACCGCCAAGACACUACACUUGGAAGGCCAUCAAACUCGGACAAGGAGGGAUUGCCUAAUGUCACAAAGCAAUCUGUUGUAAAGUCCUCCUUUGAGAAGAAUCAAGCAAGAAGUUUGGUCAUCAUCAUCACCAGCACCCUCAUCGGGCCUUUAUCCUACAGCUGCAUGUUCAUUAAUGUAUUUUGCUUUUGUCUCCCUUUUCAAUUUGUGCUGAGGAAAACACAUUUUUUCCUCAAAUAGUUUGCUUUUAUUGUCUGGCUGAUACUUUGGCCCUUAUGCUGGGAGUCUUUGCAUUGUGUUGUGAUUGCCUCCACAUUUAUUAGAAACAAAUCUGGUCUCUGCCACUUGUUUACCCUUAUUGUGUCUUUAUGUAUGGAUAUUUCUUUUUAAUUAGGCACACUUGAAAUUGGUAACACUUUCAUUUGGGAGGCACAGUUUUCAGUAACCUUGCAAAUAUCCUGAGUUCUGUGCAAAAUUGAAUCUCCAACUCAAAAAUAACUUUGUCAUAGUCUCUUGUUAACAGUGACACACAAGGAUAUAUACAGACAUACAAUCAGUCUGUAAUUAAUCCAUCUGUUAGCUGUUCAGUUUUACACUGUGCAUUAAUUAUGUGCUUACUUUCUGCAACACAAUGGUCAAUGGCUCAUCCUUGGGUUGGUCGACUAAGAAAGAAUACCGCUUUCUCAUAUGAUACACACUCAUUAACUCCAUUUCAGUCAGCAUAUGCAAUCAGAAGCCCUGAUAGGGUUUUCACUCUGGCCCUGACAAUCAGAAUUAUGAGAGCAGAGGAUGGAACAGAGUUUAUCAGUGACACCUCCUUUAUCACAUUACACUUUAAAUUGUGCCUUGUGUGGGGGACACAAUAUGAGUAGAGUGUGCUGCCUGCUGCAAACCUUCAUUCUCCACUAAGGGGUUGUCUACACAAGAAAGACAUCCGUAUCCACCUCUAUUUUGGUGCUGUUGGAACACCCAAUGUAUGGCUAUUUUCACAGUGAAAGCACAUCUUUUAGGCUUUAAUGCAUUUUUAAAAAACUCACUUCUUACUGUGCAGUUUCCCAGGAAAACUGUGUCCCCAUCUAGAUUGGGGUGACUUGAGGAUGGAGACAAAUUGAUAGGUGCAAAGUGUUGCCUUCUUAAAAACAACGUGUAGAUUGGAACCCUUUCCGUUGACAAGGCAAAAUAAACUAUUUUUCUCCUUGCGGACACUGAACUAUUGAUGCUGCCUUCCCUGCCAACCAUCUCAGUGGCUGAGCCCUGUUUGCAAAGUUAUUUGUUCUGAUGUCAGAACAAGCCAUCUAGCUAUGAGAUCAAUGAUCGAUCAGGCCAUCCCCUUACAGGGAUUUACAGAGAGUGGAUUCCAUGGAUGGGUGAGUCCAAAGCCUAAAAUUCC